rnacentral:rRNA from 1 species
CCUACGGGGGGCAGCAGUGGGGAAUAUUGCACAAUGGGGGAAACCCUGAUCCAGCAACGCCGCGUGAGUGAAGAAGUAUUUCGGUAUGUAAAGCUCUUUUAGCAGGGAAGAGAAUGACCGUACCUGAAUAAGAAUCCCCGGACAAGCACGUGCCAGAAGGCCCCGUCAUACGGAGGGCGCCAGGGUUAUCCGGAUUUACUGGGUGUAAAGGGGGCGUAGUUGGUUGUACAAGUCUGAAGUGAAAGCCCGGGGCUCAAACGCGGAAGUGCUGUGGAAACUGGCAGGCUGGAGUGCAGAAGAGGCAGGCGGAAUGCCCAGUGUAGCGGUGAAAUGCGUAGAUAUUGGGAGGAACACCAGUGGCGAAGGCGGCCUGCUGGACAGAAACUGACGUUGAGGCUCGAAAGCGUGGGGAGCAAACAGGAUUAGAUACCCUUGUAGUC